rnacentral:tRNA from 1 species
CGUAGCUCAGUUGGAUAGAGCACUCGCCUUCUAAGCGAGUGGUCGCGGGUUCGAAUCCCUCCG